rnacentral:hammerhead_ribozyme from 1 species
AGGCGAAACCCCGGCCUGUCCGGGGUCGCCGAUGGGUGGUACCAUCGGCCUGAAGAUGCCAGCCAGAG